rnacentral:rRNA from 1 species
CCUAGUAACGGCGAGUGAAGCGGCAACAGCUCAAAUUUGAAAUCUGGCUCUUAGGGCCCGAGUUGUAAUUUAUAGAGGAUGCUUUUGGCGAGGUGCCUUCCGAGUUCCCUGGAACGGGACGCCACAGAGGGUGAGAGCCCCGUAUGGUUGGAUACCAAGCCUCUGUUAAGCUCCUUCGACGAGUCGAGUAGUUUGGGAAUGCUGCUCAAAAUAGGAGGUAUAUGUCUUCUAAAGCUAAAUACCGGCCAGAGACCGAUAGCGCACAAGUAGAGUGAUCGAAAGAUGAAAAGCACUUUGAAAAGAGGGUUAAAAAGUACGUGAAAUUGUUGAAAGGGAAGCGCCUAUGACCAGACUUGCGCCUAGUGAAUCACCUAGCGUUCUCGCUAGUGCACUUUGCUAGGCACAGGCCAGCAUCAGUUUAGCAUGGGGGAGAAAAGCUCCGGGAAUGUAGCUCCACUGGGAGUGUUAUAGCCCGCUGUGUAAUACCCUGUGCUGGACUGAGGUACGCGCAUUGUAAGGAUGCUGGCGUAAUGGUCAUCAGCGACCCGUCUUGAAACACGGACCAAGGAGUCGUCUUCGUAUGCGAGUGUUCGGGUGUUAAACCCCUACGCGUAAUGAAAGUGAACGUAGGUGAGAGCUUCGGCGCAUCACCGACCGAUCCUGAUGUUCUCGGAUGGAUUUGAGUAAGAGCAUACGGGGCCGGACCCGAAAGAAGGUGAACUAUGCCUGUAUAGGGUGAAGCCAGAGAGAAACUCUGGUGGAGGCUCGCAGCGGUUCUGACGUGCGAAUCGAUCGUCAAAUAUGGGC